CCUUCGGUAGCUCAGUUGGUAGAGCGGUGGACUGUAGUGUGUUAUUCAUAGAAAUCCAUAGGCCGCUGGUUCAAAUCCGGCCCGAAGGA
rnacentral:tRNA from 1 species